AUAAGCUCCUAAAUAACUUUAAACAACUUAUAAGCUGCUCAGCCAAACAUCCUCUAAAUGAUGCGAACGUGAGCCUGAAAUCUCGAGCAAUGAACGCUUGAUAUUAUAAGCUAGCCAGUGUGGAAUUACAAAUGAAGAAUUCAACUUGAGAAGCUGAGCCUCAUGUUUAUGCCAACAAACGAAACAUAAGGACCAUGGGAAAUUGCAGCAAUUGAAUCAUUAAAGGAUCAUGACAAGAAAGCGUUGGACCAGAGUGGUUGAUCAACUGAUGUGGAUCAAUCAGAGGAUGCCAACACCGAGGUGACUGUUGAGACAGCUGGGAAUUCAAACAUUUUUGUAGAUUAUACUGUUUUGUGAUUCACUGGAACUUCUCUGGCCACACAUUUAUUUGCAAUUCAAGAGGGUCAGUUCAAGCAAUGACGUGCCUUCAGGAAAUUCUCUAUGUUUGGUGCAUUUUGCUUUUGUGUAAAAGUAGAUAUUACGUGCAGACCCUGAUUGGCUGAACGGGGACCUCCUUUCCAAACAGCAGAUGAUGCUAAAGGCUAUUGAUUCCUCAAUUGGUCUUUUCAAGUACGAGAACAUUCAUGCUUUAGGCUAAAGUAAACAAAUUUCCAAAGGCAUGCAUGCCCUAUAUAUAUUCCAUUUUCUUAAAAGUCCUGAUCUGCUAAAUAGUAAUUAAAAAAUAUGCGUCGCUAAUAUAUUAGAUAUUCUAUAGAAAUAAGUUUGAGAAACAAAAUAUCCCAAAAGAAGAAUUUGAUGAAUAAACACAGCCGCACUUGAGCAACAUUUUGAGCCUCAUCUCACAGUUGCUAGGUGUAUUUUGAAGUUUACUUCUUUACCUUAUGCACGUCUCUGCAAUUUUGCGAGAUCCAAAAGCUUCAUUGUAAUGUCCGAGAGAUGCUGAAUCUUUGAAAGCUUCACCAUUAAGUCUAAACUCUUUGAUCAGUGCAAGGAUUAGUUAGCAAUAGCAUAAAUUAUAUAUCUAUGACCAAUGUUCUGUACUUUUAUCUCUAUACAGUGAACUAAUUAGUGGAUUACUGUUGUAUCUAACUUAUGCUUUUAGACAGCUUGUUUUGGACUUUGGACUCUUGUUUAUUAGCAUACAUAGGCGUGCAAUGGAGUUCUGUAACAUACAUUGGUUCAUCUUGAAACAUGCAAUUGUUUUCAGCGUUAAAAUUUAUAAAAACUUU